GACGAACGCUGGCGGCGUGCUUAACACAUGCAAGUCGAACGGAAAGGCCUGCUUUCCCUUGUGGAUUGCGGGUACUCGAGUGGCGAACGGGUGAGUAACACGUGAGUGAUCUGCCCCCAACUUGGGUAUAAGCCUGGGAAACUGGGUCUAAUUCCCGAUAGGACUGCAGGGUGGUGCCUGUGGUGGAAAACGAUUUUCUAGUGGUUGGGGAUGAGCUCGCGGCCUAUCAGCUUGUUGGUGGGGUAAUGGCCUACCAAGGCGGCGACGGGUAGCCGGCCUGAGAGGGUGGACGGCCACAUUGGGACUGAGAUACGGCCCAGACUCCUACGGGAGGCAGCAGUGGGGAAUAUUGCACAAGGGGCGGAAGCCUGAUGCAGCGACGCCGCGUGGGGGAUGACGGCCUUCGGGUGGUAAACUCCUUUCGACCGCGAGGAAGCCACCUGGUUGGAAGGGUGGUGACGGUAGUGGUAGAAGAAGCACCGGCUAACUACGUG
rnacentral:rRNA from 1 species